rnacentral:rRNA from 1 species
AGAGUUUGAUCCUGGCUCAGGACGAACGCUGGCGGCGUGCUUAACACAUGCAAGUCGAGCGAUGAAGCUCCUUCGGGAGUGGAUUAGCGGCGGACGGGUGAGUAACACGUGGGUAACCUGCCUCAUAGAGGGGAAUAGCCUUUCGAAAGGAAGAUUAAUACCGCAUAAGAUUGUAGUACCGCAUGGUAUAGCAAUUAAAGGAGUAAUCCGCUAUGAGAUGGACCCGCGUCGCAUUAGCUAGUUGGUGAGGUAACUGCUCACCAAGGCGACGGUGCGUAGCCGACCUGAGAGGGUGAUCGGCCACAUUGGGACUGAGACACGGCCCAGACUCCUACGGGAGGCAGCAGUGGGGAAUAUUGCACAAUGGGGGAAACCCUGAUGCAGCAACGCCGCGUGAGUGAUGACGGUCUUCGGAUUGUAAAGCUCUGUCUUUAGGGACGAUAAUGACGGUACCUAAGGAGGAAGCCACGGCUAACUACGUGCCAGCAGACGCGGUAAUACGUAGGUGGCAAGCGUUGUCCGGAUU